UGGGGAAUAUUGCACAAUGGGCGAAAGCCUGAUGCAGCAACGCCGCGUGAGUGAUGAAGGCCUUCGGGUUGUAAAGCUCUGUCUUUUGGGACGAUAAUGACGGUACCAAAGGAGGAAGCCACGGCUAACUACGUGCCAGCAGCCGCGGUAAUACGUAGGUGGCAAGCGUUGUCCGGAUUUACUGGGCGUAAAGGAUGCGUAGGCGGAUUUUUAAGUGAGAUGUGAAAUACCCGGGCUUAACUUGGGUGCUGCAUUUCAAACUGGGAAUCUAGAGUGCGGGAGAGGAGAAUGGAAUUCCUAGUGUAGCGGUGAAAUGCGUAGAGAUUAGGAAGAACACCAGUGGCGAAGGCGAUUCUCUGGACCGUAACUGACGCUGAGGCAUGAAAGCGUGGGUAGC
rnacentral:rRNA from 1 species